UAGCCUGCCGAUCCCAUCGUAAGCGGAAUAGUCUAGAAAACAAGUUGACGUGACACACGAGGCUCUGCCAUUGCCACGACACCGAAAAUUCCGCGAUCUUUCUCUAUAUAUUCCCCUUUGUUCUGUCUGGUUCCAUUCUUUGUCAUUGGCACCGGGUUACCUCGGGGACAUGGGGGUCAGAAUGAUAUACGUAGGCAGGAUUGGGGUGGGAUUCGAUCCUUGGCUUUGCAGGUCUGUUCUGGUUGUUUUCUUCCUCUUAACUUUACUUUCGAUUUCGUUUUCUCCUUGAAACGUGACGGGAUUGUUUAGGACUUUUUCCGCAACUUUUCAGUAUUUGCCAGAAUUGAUAUCUAGGGUUCGUGAAUGUAAAUGGGUUUUCAGCUAUUUAGGAUAAGUGUUUUGGCUUCCUUUUGUGGUGGGAUAUGGUUUUUUUAUAGGGUAUAUGCCUUGGAGUUUAAGAUUUUUUUAUGGGGGUUUUAAGGUACGUUAUAGAGGUAGUUGCGUGUCUCAUUUUCUUGGGAUGGCUGGUAAUUUGUAUGACGACUCUUGUUUUUUUUUUGGUUCCUUAGGGGUUUCUAAUAUAGAUCCGUGAUUUACUCAUCCUCUUAAACUGUAAUUUGCUGGUUUUAUGUGGGUAGUUAUUCUUUUGACCGACUGAUCUUGUCGUUGUGUUUAAUGAAGUGUGUGUUGGCUUCACCUUCAGUUUUGUUUUGAAAGUGUGUUUGUACGAGGGUCUGGUUUUUUCGAUCUUGUAAGUUUUCCUUAUGAAAGCUUACAAUUUUUGAAAUUAAAUAAUAUCUAUGAGGGUUUGGUUAUCUCGGGUUGAUUUUAUUUUGAAUGGACGAGUGUUAUUGUUUUCAGGUUUACAUGUUCUUUUUUUGUACUUUUGUUUUCAGAUCUGUAGAUUUAACUUCUGAUUGCCCGAGGGUUCGUUUUUUUCAGGUUUCAAAUUUUCUGGGUAUAAGUAAUCUAUACAUCUUUUAGGUUUCUAAGGCUCCGAGGGUUUGUUCUAUGGGGAUUUGUUGAUUUCAGGUAUAUUAUUAAUUAUAAUCAGUAACUUAUAUAUCAUGUAGCUUUUUAAAUAAAACAUAUUUUGAGGGUUUGUUGUAUGUAGGCGUUGUCCAUUUAUUGGGUAUCGGUUAUAAAUGGUUAUCUGAAUAUGUUUUCUGUUUAGAGAAAUGCUUCCUUUCUAAAUAGGUGCUAGUGGUCUUAAAACUUCCUAUUUCUUUGAGUUUAUGUUAUAUCUAAUCUUUUGAAGAUUUGAUCUGGGGUUUUUAAAUUUUUUUUAAAGGUUACCAUGGCUAGGACUCUGAAGUUCUGUUAAAGGCCUGAUAUGAUGGACUUGUAUAUAGAUCUGAUGUUUUUAAUCAUUUUAAUUGCGCCGAGAUCUCGAAUUCACAGUCUGAUGACUUUGAAUUUCUAUUAGAUGUAUACUUAACGGUUUUUUCUCUCCUUACCAAGGCAUUUAGUCGUGAAAUUGUCCUCAGUUUGCCUGUAAUACUAUUAUUUUUCUUCAUGAUCCGUUUUUCAUACAUGAUGUUUUUUGUUUUGUUUUGUUUUGGGUGUCGGCACCGUGAAAAUUGUUUUCCUUCCGCUUUUAGUAUUCUAUCUCUAAUGGUUUUAUUUGUCCCAUAAGGGUGCAAGUAGUAAUUCAUCUCCUUUCAGUGACGUUAUGGGGUUUUUGAAGGACACUUUUAUAUAUCUUAUGAUUUAUGACUUUUGAAUUGUGUGUACUAGUAAAUGUUAUAUGAGAUUUCUAUUUUAUUAGGAUUUCAGUUUUCUAAUUAGUGUUCCAAGUCUUUUUGUUUUUGUUUUUUUCAUUUGCUGAUGCUACGAGCUCACUUUUUCCUUUGAAAUUUGUGAUGAGUAUGGAUAGCAUGUUUGUUUAGCUUGUUUGUUGGUACAUGCAUCCGAUAGGAAUUGUAGAAUAGAAAUACAUAGGAUCUUGUAAAAGGUUUGUUUUAUUGGCAUUGGGGCACUCUUCUUUUCUUAAAACUUUAGAGUUCUACUCUUUGUUGGGUUUGUGCAUGAUAGAUUUACAUUGAAGGGUUGUAGGUGUUGUUCAGAUGGCUCUUGAAAUCUUUAAGAAAACAACCUGGCUUCAGCUGCAUGGUAGUUUUUUCUACAGGGUUUUUGUAUCGUUGUCUUAAAAUAGGGUUGUUAAUUUGGUGAAAUCCUCAUUGUAAGCUUAAUAUAAAUGGUCUUCACCAUUAGAGUAUGCGAUAAGUUCCCGUGAUUUGAGUGCAAAGGAGGCUCUUUCAUGAAAGUCCAUUUGUUAACAUGUGGGUUCGUCUUUACUGCAAAUUUCUAUGGUGGUCCUGUGGAACUUUUUUUAGUGCACAAGAUGUUUUAUUGAAUUGUGCUGGUAGCACGCGGACAUUUUCGUGGGCCAUGGUGGUAUUUUACUUCGACAAUUGUAAGGUCGAAUGAGAAACGUAAAGCUCAUCGUACGUGGAGGGAGGAGUAGUUUUGUAUGACAUGAAAAUGUUAGCAUGUUGUCAAUCAACGUAUUCAUUAUGCUAUACGCAGCAGUUGAUGAAGAUCUUAAAAAAUGAGGAGCUUACUAUUUGUCUUAUGCAUUACAAUUAUGAUUCUCUAGACAGUGGUAUUCGUGACGCAACUUGAAUGCAUUUGGCACUAGGCCAGAUGAAUUCCGUUGUUCUGUUUUGUAAGAAACUUUAUUUAUAACUCGGACAAAGCUAUUGAUGUUUCUAGCUUGUCCCAGGCUGUAUUUUUUUGAGGAAUUUUGUAUAUUUGCAUUUGUUCAAGCAUGUAGCUAGAAAGGAUCUUACCUCGUUGGGUGCGCUCACGGGGUCGGUCAACACAGUAAUAAAAUGCUUUUCGUUUGUGGUUUUGGCAGGGGGCUUUACUCCUGCCUGCGUGUCCUUGUUUCUUCUUUGACUCUGUGAUUGUGAUGCUUGUUUGUUACAGAUGUGUCAUGGUGGCGAUCUUUGUUACUAUUCAUUACAUAGUGAAUAUGCACUUGAAGAUAUAUUGUGGGAUUGAGCACAUUUUGGAUAAUGGAUAGAGAAAAAUGCGGUUAUCUUCGAAGAUUAACUUAUGCGCAGCAUAUGCGUGUUUUGGGGAGUUACCAUCCUCGUACCAUUGCUAUGAAAGGAGAUGGGCUAGCUAUUUAUCUGUGAGCCAAGGCAUUGCAAUAAUAUCAUCAUUCCAAUUGGAGCCUCACAACAAUUUUAAAGCUUCACAACAAUUUUAACCGUGUCAUUGAUGAAGCAGGUGGGUUCUUUCCAAUUAUUAAAAUUUGUUUUAAGAUGAAUCUAACAAUACGAUUAGAUAUCAGAAGAAGCUAUUGGCUAUGUUUUGUUCCCUAUUCAAAUUAGCUGUGAUGUCUUAAACAAAGAUGUCUGUUAAUAGCUGGUGAUGUCAAUCCCUAGGCAACAUUUUUCUUGUAGACUGGGAUGUCUCUGGUUUUCAACAGAUAUCUUUAUUUAAGACAUCGGAGCUAAAUUAUUAGAAAUAAUGUAUAAAGAAUUUAACGAUAUAACUAGUACACAUAUCCUUGGCUACAAAAUAUUAUCACGAUACGUAAUCUUAUGAAUAUAGAGGAAAUGCAAAGAAAAUGUCAUAAGUUGGUUAAUUAUUAGAAAUUACUUGCACGGAAAUUUUUUAACUUAAUACGUAAAUUAAUCUCAAAGAUUGGAUGGCCUAAUAUUUGUGUUUUUUGAAAAAAACUAGAUGGCCUAAUCUUUGUGUUUUUUUUUUGGAAGAAAAUGGAUGAUGAACUUACGUGAAAGAUAAAAUAAUUAAUAGGAAAAAGUGAAAAAUAAUCUAAUUAUUAGCUAAAUGCUUCUAGUUAUCUUUAAUAAUAUGAUCUCACUGAAUACCGGGAAAAAGGAAAAGACAAAGUAAUCUAUUUUAGUUAAAUCUCCUCGAGCACAAUGUUCAUCAUUCAGUUCUAGCUAAACCUCCUUCAAUAGUUCAUCUAGGUUUUUGAUAAAAACAAGAUGGCCUAAUCUUUGUGUUUUUUGAAAGAAAAUGGAUAAUGAACUUACGUGAAAGAUAAAAUAAUUAACAGGAAAAAGUAAAAAAUAAUCUAAUUAUAGCUAAAUACUACUAGUUAUCUUUAAUAUGAUCUCACUGAAUACUGUGUUAAAGGAAAGGACAAAAUAAUCUAUUUUAGUUAAAUCUCCUCCAAGCUCUGUUAUGGCAACAACACCUUAAGCACAUUGUUCAUCAUUCAAUUAUAGCUAAACCUCCAUCAAUAGUGCACACGACUCACUCACGCAAUAAAUUAAAAUCAUGUAUUGUUAUUCAAUCUUGAUGCACAAUUCAGUUACGCAGUAAAAUCAUAAAUUGGUAAAAAGACGGCAAAAUAAUCUAUUCUAGCUACCUUCAAGCUAAUGAUACCAGCGCUACAAACACAUUGUUAUAUUCAUCCAAUUUUAGCUAGAUUUCCGUCAAUAUUAAUACACAAAUCACUGACCCUGUUAAAGCAGAUUUUGGAAAAACAAUAAGGGAAAACUUCUAAACCAUGGACGGUUGUCUGUUACAUUCUCCAGGGUUAAAACAUCAGACAGCAAAAUGUUAAUGUGAGAACAUGGUGCGUCUUGGCAAAUAUAUUGUAACAAAAUCCGUGCUUGCAUACAAUCUGGGUCUUGAUCUUAUGAUCUCUCUCGGCGAGAGGAAAAAUUCCUUAUAAGAGUGCUAGGAAAUGGUAAUGGCAACACGAAAUGGAGAGCAGUCUCCUGCUACUCAUCCUGAAUCUCCUCCUUUGCCUCGAACAUAGUUUCUUAAUUUUUAACUUACCCUUACGUGAGGUGCUCCAUACGGAAUAACAUUCUUGUGGUCCUCACCCCAGUAGCAUCAACUUUUAUUGAACGGUUCUUGGCAAAGUAAGCUGGGUGGGUCAGUUUUCCUGAGAUCUAUAUCUCGGUCAUUAGCUUCAGUAGGUGCCUACAUUGUCCUCAGUGCCUAAGAAAUUGGAGUAUUAAAGUAUUAAGUAAAUUGGAAGAUGUUUUAUUGUUUAAUUAGAAACUUUUAGUUCUGUGUAAUAGUCUUAAGCGCUCGUGAAAAUUUGUUUAAGUUUACUAUUUUUCGAGGGGGGCGACAUAUAUACCUGUUUUCAUUUGAUUCUUAUGUAAUUCUAGAUAAGUUGAUUUCUUAUUGAACUUCAAAUGAAAUUCUCGAUUUUUUAAAGAAUUUACCAAGGCACCAUUUCUGAGGUUCUCGCGCUCAUUCUGGCCUUGUUUUUGUUUUUUCUAAACUAGUAAGGUGUUUAAUGAAAUGCUUGCAAGAUUCAAUUAUUAUUUUAUGUCAUAGAAUCUAUUUUCAUGCACUCGUACUUGUAUGUAUUGAAUCUUUAACAGUUGUAUAAAUGAUAUGAGACCUACUCUUACACUUGUAAUAUAUUUUUUAUUGUUGUCAAUUUGUUGUCCUUUUUACUAUUCAUAUCAGUUGUAACGUGUAUGGAUGGAGGAUUUUAUUAUCGGAACUUAUGCAAUAAGUUGAUGGUUCGUGAAAGGGUAUUCUACCCUAGCAUGCUUACUUGAGCGAGUACUGGACAUAGCUUACUUUAUAAUGAAUAAUGCAGUGGAAGGAUUCCAUGUUGUUGUUAACUUGGUAUUACCAAAAAUGGAGCAACGUGCGUCAAAGCUUAUAGCAGUAGUGGACCAAGAAUGGAACUCUUCAGUUGGGCAGAAAGUCAGUACAUCUUACAGAAAGUAUUUCUUGCAGAAAGUCAAUAUUUAUUAUUAACUUCUUUGAGGCCAGUGCGCCUGAUGUCUCAAGCAUUGGGAGUAGUCGAGUACAACUGAAACAGUAUACUGUGCUCGGGCCAGGUAAAUGCUUUUCAGGAUCAAGCGGAACUGUUUGUUCUGUUGACCAACUUAUGGAGAAUAAUUGAGAUCAGACAAUGGUUCGAUAAAUGUUUGAUUGGCUCGGAUGUCACGGGUUGAUCUCAAAACACUACUGAAGAUGGUUCUGAUUGUCAAAGCUAUUCCAUGCUACCAGCCUGCACCAGAUCAUCGUUUUGAGAUAUUUCUGCAACUGGCUGAUUGUAUAUGGAGUUUGAAGUGCAGUAAUGCGUUGUGAAUGCAAUGAUCAGCGCAGUAUCAGCAAAAGUAACGCUGCUGUUUGAUGGAUCCACUAAAGUUAACAGCUUGUCUCUGAUCGUCUAUAUUGGUCUCUUUCUGCCAUGUACAGUCGAAAUGUUCUUAGUCAUGCAGCUUAAAUCUAUAAGGAUCUUACCCCGUUGGGUGCGCUCAUCUGGGUGGUCCAAAAGUAAUAAAAUAGUAUGCUUUUUGGUUUUGGCAGGGGCUUUACCCCUGCCGGUGGGUGUUCUAGGUGUUUUUUAAUUUUUUUACCAUGCGACUGUGACACGAGUAGCUGUUGCAAAUGAUUCAAAAUGGGUGGUAUAUUUUUAUUUUUUUCUUAACAAUUAGCAUUAUCCUUGUCGGUGGGUAUUUUGCUUAUGUUCAGUGUGCAACUGUGACUAGUAUUUAUUACAGACAUGAGACAAGGCACAUGGUGGUAAUAUCUUUAUUUCUGUUCAUUACAUACUGAGAUUGAACACACGAUAUAUUGUGAAGUUUGUGUCAUUUGGGUGAAGAAAUGAUGUGCUUUAAAGACGCAAUUGUUACUGCUUUGAACAAAUUUACUUUUUCUUUGUUCUGAAGGGAUACGAAUUAGCUAUUUGGUCUGGUGUAGUCAUUAUUGAUUAGAUCUCUUAUCACAUUCUCACAAUAAUGAGGAGUAUAUGUGGGCUGGAAAACUUGCAGAUGCUUCACAAGGAUUAAAGACGGUCAUGUCCAGUGGUAUAUCAGGUGUGUUAUCUGUUGACUCCAUUUACAUGUAUGUUUGAGUUGAAGCUGGUCUAGAUUAUAAAACCUGAGCAAGCUACUGUUUCAAAUGCUUUAUUAAACUUGUCAAAGCGUUAUCAACUUUCUUCGUCGAUUUGCAUGUGAAAUUUGGGGUGUGCUAGAAGUUUAUUGUUGGUGAAUUGAUUAUCAGUUGGUGAAUUAGAAGUUUAUUGUUGGUGAAUUAUAAUUUUGUGUAGCCUGCCCAUCUGUUUGAGGCAUUCCAAGUAAUGCGUUGCUUUCAAAUCCUUGGGAUCCUUCCUCCUCGAAGAGAUCUGGAAGAUUUUUUCAUUCUACUUUUCGUGGGGAAAUAUAGGUCUGGUACAGUUCAGUGGGAGAAUCUAGGAUAUCACAUAGGUGUAGGGAAAUUUCAUGUAUCUUUCAAUCUAAGUACGGUGUCUUGGUAGAAUUAGUCUCUCAAUGGAAAAAAUGCUCAUUUGCUUAUAUUGCAACUCAGUUUACUAUAAAAUAAAUACCAGGUCAUAAACAUUAUUUAAUUUUUGGUAUUUUAAUUUUGUGGACAAUCUUAGGAUGGAUACCUAUCUUUCAAUCUAAAUAUGGUGUCUUGAUAGAAUGAUUCUGUCAAUAGGAAAAAUGCUGGUAUGCUGGUAUUUGAAUGUUGGCUUAUAUUGCAACUAUUUAACUCCAAAAUGAAAACCAAAAGAGUAGGUGAAAAUGUAGCCUACUUAUGUAUGAAGUAUAAUAUUGAACGACACAGUCUAACUUCACACACUACACUUUACAGAAUGACAUAUUAAUCUAAAACUAAUUUAUUUCAAAGAGGGGGCAAAUCAAUGCUGGAUAUUUUUAUCAGAUGAUGGGGUUGUUUUGAAUUUGAGGACAAAAUAUUGUUUUGUAACUUCUUUGUCUUUUAACUUAUGAGAGCUCUUUAGUUGAAGAUGCCUUCCCAUUCAUUAUAUGAAGAAAUUAAGCUGUCCUUUUCACGCAAUUCCAUUGCGUAUUAUUUUGUUUAAACACACAAGAUGUCUAGGUAGUCAAAUUGGAUAUGUUUAGGUUAGCUUGACAAACGAUGACAUUGAAAAGCAGAAAAAACGGCGUUUUAGCAUGGCAAUGGAAAUCUGUAUAACAACAAACGGUGACGGAGGUGUGACUGCAGCUCUGAAAAACUUAAAAGCAGCAUAUAUCUCAACGCUACCAACAUCAACUGCUCCAUUUCUGCCCUCUUGGGCUCUUCAUGUAAUUCCGAGCCACUUGCGUGAUUACACAUCUUCCAUCCUCUUGCAUGUAUGUGAUUCACUUACUUCCUACUGAAUGCUUAUACUGUCUCAUGUCGAAAGUUUCAGAGAUCUGAUUAUGCUGUCACAUACGAGAGGGCAGUUUAACUUUAAGUAUUGUUGACCUUACUAGUGUCCAUGGUUAAGAUUAAUUUCCUUCUUUUGGAUGCAUGGGAAGAUCCAAAGCUACAUUAGAUAUAACAUAUAUUUCUAGAAGAACUAGAACAUCUUUAGCAAGUGGUUUCAGAUAUUCACAGCUUUGGAGCGAUGGUUAUGACGACCACCACAUGCAGACUUUUGCCAAGGCUUAUUAGUGUUGUGAAUGCUGGAAGGCAUGAUCUUCUUCUUGGAAUACUGAAUAUGGUGCAACAGUGGGGGACCUUUUCUUAAGUGUGAGAAAGAGCCAUCCUCCUUUCAGAUGUUUACAUCCUUCAGUGCUCGCUUUUUUUAAUAGCCACAGCUUCAAAGCCUAAAACAUCCGACUCUUUUCUCACAAUUGCAAGCCAAGAUAAUUUAAUUUUUAGGCCUACUAUUGUAGGCCUUUCAGUGAUGCACGCUGUAGCAGCACAAUCAUCUUUAUCAUGUAACAGUAAAGGAUAGAAUACUGGAGUAAGUCGCCCUUGAUUUUAGGGCAAACCAGUUUACGUUUUUAUAUGUUUGUAGCUUUGGAGCUAUGGCUAUAUAUUUUUUACAUACACUCCAAAGCCUUAAAGUUUGAAGAUCUCUUUCUGCUAUAGAAGAAUGAUCUGGGGCUAUGGCCAUACAAGUAGCAUUGAGCAGACAUUGGAAGGUAGUGUGGCAGAGCUCAAUGCGUAGGUUGUGAAUUGAGGAGUUAUUGGUAGCUUUAUGUUCAAGACUAUUGCAGAAACCGUAGAUGUGAAGCUAAAUGGAGAGAGGUUGAGAGGGCAGAAAUGGAGCAGUUGAUGAUGAUAGAUUUUGGUGCUUUCAUCCAGAUGCAGCUCUGUGACAUUGAACUUACAAUGUGCUGAACGUGACGAAAUUUGAAGCUUUAGAAUUUUGACCAUUCAUCUGCAAUUCCAUCAUAUUAAAGAGCUUCAUAUCGAUCUUUUUGUGUAAGAUGAAGGUAAACAUACAAGUACAAUUUUUUAUUAUAUUGAUAUUAUUGCAAUAUUAGUUGAUUGUUAAAAUUUAAUAUUAGUAGAUUGUCAAUGGAAAGCCGUUUAUUAUGUUAAUUGCUGAUAAAUAGAUAUUAUAGUUUAUAUUCAGUAAAACUAGUUGGCGAAGUUGGUUAUUGACGCGUCAGUUCUGGAUUGGUAUUUGUUAAUUAAUAAUUUCUCACAAACUUCAGUGAUAUCUUGCCAAUUCUACGAAAGCUGAAAUUAGUUUAUACGGAAACCCAGGUCACCUAAAACACUAAGCUUGAGCACAGAGUUUUUUAAUUAAAAAACUCUGUGCUCAAGCUUAGUGUUUUAGGUGACCUGGGUUUCCGUAUAAACUAAUUUCAGCUUUCGUAGAAUUGGCAAGAUAUCACUGAAGUUUGUGAGAAAUUAAUAAUGAAUAAAUUAGUUGUUAAUUUAUUUGUCGAUUGAAUGAACAGAAAAGUCGAUUGAAUGAACAGAAAAGCCACAGGCGUUACACAGUGCAACAUACGAGAUUGCAAGAGAAUGCGGUUCGGGUGCAUUUACCUUUUGGUCAAAGCGUGCUGGUUAUAACCAUAUUUCGAUUGUGCAAGCUUUUAAAUAUUUUCAGCACAUAUUGUAACCACUCGACAUGUUAGUAUUUUUUUUGCUGAAAAGAGGUCCUUGGUGUCUGCAGUGCAACAUAUAAUAGAUUGACGGCUAGAUGUUUAUAUUUUGGCCAUAUGACAGGUCGUGUUAUUUAAUUUGAUUCCUGCUAUGUUUUUCUCAUUGUUGUCAGUACGGUUAUAUCAUUCAUGUUGGCAGAUAAAGAACUGAAGUUUACACCAACUAGCGUAGCAUGUUUCUUGAUGUGUCCCAGCUAUAUGCGGGAUUCAUUGCUUUGUAACACAUUUAUUUGGACAUGCAAAAUGCUCAGAAUGUCCGAACUUAUGAGAAAUAUCAGUUCAGUAUGAGGAGCUCGCUUUUCGUUGUCAAGAAUUAAUGUUAGCAAUAAUUCUUCUAAUUAGAUCUGAUUUGCUGGUACAUUCAAGAUAGUGUUUUGCAGAUGAAUCACAUUUGGAGCUUGAGAUGCAGUCAUGGGUAGUGCAGCAUAUGACAAGGAAGGCCAAGCGGUGUACUUUUUGAGCACGCCCUUACGAGUGCACAUUGUUUGAAAGAUUUCUUAUAGUUGCAGUCGAACUGUUCCAGGUAUCUAACGUUUAAAGAUUUUACUUAUGUUUUAAAAUGAAUCCUGAUAGCAGGUUAAUCUAAAGGAUGGGGAUUUAUUCGGGCAGUUUUCUCCAAAGGCUUUGGACAGUGCAGUUGUGCAAAGAACCAGACUUUGCAUGGUGAAAAUUUGUUGAUUGAGAUUUAAACUACUCUAUUUUAACUUUUUUGGCUGGAAAAUGUAUCAGCUGUUUAAAUUUGGGUUUUUUUGGUGGUUCGUAUGGUAAACUAUUGUCAUAAUUAUGAUGUAUCCAGUGUUAUGUUGACUGUGGAGACUAAAUUGUAGGUAGUCAUGAUAUUUUGUACACUAUGUAUCCGGCAUUUGAAGUAUUGUUGAUAAAAGCUGGAAAACUUGGCCUCUACUUUUCAUGAAAUCUUAGAUUGCUUGGA